UCCCUUCUCAAUCUCUGUUCAUUAGAAAGCGCUUUACCUUGUAGCGCAAGCCAAAGAAAGAUUUCCAAUUUAGGAAGGAUUUUCCACUUCCAUAACAGCUUCCAGCUUCUCCAAAAUCACUAAAGAUAAGAUUAUAAGCAGAUUUAAGUUAGCUGAAAAGGCCCCAAACCCAAUGGGAUAUUUAAUAAUUCGUUGCACCACCUAAACCCUAAACCCUAAACCACACUCCUAAGACUCUCCACAUCUCCCUUUCCAACUCACCACCCAAUAUAGUUACCCAACAAUGCAGAACCUUGUAAAACACUUUUCCAAGUGGAAUGAUCUAAUCUGGUUUGCAGACAAGGAUCCAAAAUAGAUUGUCCCCUAAGGAUCCAAAAAAGAACAAAAAAACCAUCCAAGUUAUUUUGCACGAGCAGCCAAAACAAGAAGAACAACCCACUCUGUUGAGAAUGGCGAAGAAAGAGGCCAGGACAGGAAUGAGGAAGUACCCCCCAGGCAACAUGAGAAGGCCAACCAGAAAAAACCCAACCAGGGAAUAGCUGGCAGGAAGAAGGAAGUAGCCCCCGGCAGCGGGAGAAAGACAACCAGAAAAAACCCAAGAAUGAUGGCAAACCGAAAAGGAAGCGGAUGUAGAAAACAAGCUGGAAUGUAAGACGAUGUUCAAUGCGAGAAGGAUUAGAGAGGGAGAUAGAGAGAGAAAUCAACUUGGAUUGUAAGAAACCACAAGUGACCAUAUCAGUCUCUCCCAAAAGCCAAUGUCUGUUGGUCUCUGUAUUAGUGCAUGUUUCUGCAUACUGUUGAGCUUGAAUGGAUUCUUUUGUAGCACAAAUUGGAGAAGAAGGAACAUGCAUCUGUUGUUUUUUAUUAAUACUAUUGGGAUAACUUUUGGUAAUGUAAGGCUGAAAUAUUAUUGACUUUCUACUA